AGCUGCAUAUCAUAUCUCUUGAAUUACCCCAUGGAAAAAAUAUUUAUCAAGGAUGAAAUUAACUACCAAGCUGAGGGACAGCACAAGAAUAGAACACAGGCAGAGAACAGGUCUUCCAUUGGCUGCAUGCUUGAGACGAGAUUUCCCUCCAGCAAUAGCUGUAGAUGAAACAGAGAAGGUGGUAAAGAACAACAGAGCUUUUCUUCUGUGAACACUACCACCAAUGAGCUCUUGGACCCUGGUUUUGUAUACUGCUGUCCUGCACCAUGAAUUGUGUUUCUCUGACUUACAUGCACAGAGGCUGCUCAAGGGAUGGAACAAUCUACAUGUCUGACACUGUUUGGUAUUUUUCACUGAGCUAAUGAACACACCCAUACAGCAAGGGUCACUGCUGGCUUGGACCUAUUCUUCAAUGGUGAGGAAGGAUGUCGUCAAACCACUAAAUCCAUCCAGGACAUAGAAGCAACAAUACCCAAAAAUAUGCAUGUGAAUCCAGCAAAAUUAGAGCUGCAGUGAAGAUUUGAUAAUAUCAGCUGGGAGCAGCUAGGAAAAGACCAGAGGAACAGCUAACAGAAACUUCCUUGCUCUUUCACAGCCAGAUGUUAGGUGACUGCUGUAUGGUGUUAAGAGAGUUCAGUACAGAAGCAUGUGUGAGACCAUUAUCCACCCCUAUCCUAAACAAUUUCUGCAUACUUUUUAUCACCACCUGGAUUCAAUAAUCAAGCCAAGCAUUUACUGACUCAGUCCCAUACUUCUAAUCUUACACAGCAAGGUCUCAUGGAGCAAUGGAUCUCCUAAACUCUUGAAGUCCAAGGAUACCACAAGUCAUUUUUUUUAUUCCUCUUAAGUCCCUUUUUUCCUUAUUUUAUUUAAUGAAGGAAAAAAAAAUGUUUUCCUUUUGUAUCUGUCUUUCUGGUAAGGGUAAUCAGCUGUCUAGAGUGGUCCCUGGAGCUCAUAUACACUUCUUCCCCCAUUAUUCUCCUUUUAAGGUCUGGGAUGCAAUGGUGCAUCAAUGCAUUGAUGCUUCUUUAUUUCCGAAGUACCUCUCCCAUAGCCCACUGAUAUUUCCCUGCUGGCUUCAUCCCUUUGGCAUCUAUUUUAAAAAAUAAAUUUGGGGAGUAAACAACCCUCUUUUGGAAUAGUUUUUGAUUUUAGUGUUUUUAGUCAACUACUGGGUUUCCUGGUAGCCUUUAGAGCUAAUAAUUGUUUAUUUUCUGUCCCUGGAAAAUGUGUAAAGACUGUGACAGACUUUCCACCUCUCCCUGCUGAAUACUGAGACACAAGUAGUAAUUCACUUUCCCAGCAAUAUCCCCCUUUUUGUCAAGGUAGCCGGUUGCUCAGGAAGGUGAUAGCUGUCUUCCUGAGUGACCUUUGGCUUCCUAUACACCAAAUUUAUAAAAUCUUUUAUUGUGUUCACAUCUUUUCUCAUCUUCUUUUCCUGUCUCAGCUUUUUGGAUCAUUUUCUCGCAUUCUUCUUUCACAAUAGGCUCUUGUACCAAUUCUUCUAGUGCUGACCCUGCUGAUUUAUAGGUCUCAUAUUCUUCUUUAUUGCUCUUUGUAUUUCCCUUGUCUUACACAGUGGUCAUUUCUACUCCAAGUAUAUUUAUUUCUCAAUGGUAUACAGAUUUCUUGAACUCUGUGGACUAUAGCUUUGAGUAUUUUCCCAUUGUAGUCUACCGCUUCACUGUCUUUUGUAAUUUGUUGGAAAAUACAUAUGCCUCUGCUAGUGUUUUCCAUGAGUUUAAUGUUCUUGCACUUCCAAUUUGGGGGAGUCACCAGUUCCUGAUUUCAGAACUCAUUAAAUUUUGGCCUGUAUUUUUAUAUCCUCUUCUGUUAGCCCUUCUGCAUGAAGCAUAGCAAAGCUGGGUAGAUGCCAGCUUCCACAAUGCAAGCCCACAGCUUUAAUUACGUAUUUGUAAUCUUUGCUAUAGUUCCCAUAUAGCGUGUGAGUGCUUCCCAGAUAUGAACAAGCUUGUUUUCACACUACCCUGUGAGAAUAGCAAGUAUUAUUACUUACAUUUUAUGGGAAACCAAGAUACAGAAAUUAAGAUCCGCCUUUGUGAAGGCACUUAAGUGCCUACCUAGAAUCCAGCUCAGAAUAAAAACUGCUGUCUGAUUCUU